rnacentral:rRNA from 1 species
CAGCAGUCGCCGCGGUAACACAGAGGAUGCAAGCGUUAUCCGGAAUGAUUGGGCGUAAAGCGUCUGUAGGUGGCUUUUCAAGUCCGCCGUCAAAUCCCAGGGCUCAACCCUGGACAGGCGGUGGAAACUACCAAGCUGGAGUACGGUAGGGGCAGAGGGAAUUCCACGUGUAGCGGUGAAACGCGUAGAGAUGUGGUGGAACACCAGUGGCGAAGGCGACUCUCUGGUCUGUAACUGACGCUGAGGAGCGAAAGCGUGGGGAGCGAACAGGAUUAGAUACCCCGGUAGUCCCUGUCUCUUAUAC